ACUGCGAGUGAAGCGGGAAAAGCUCAAAUUUAAAAUCUGGCGGUCCCUGUGGCCGUCCGAGUUGUAAUUUAGAGAAGUGUUAUCCGUGCUGGACCGUGUACAAGUCUCCUGGAAUGGAGCGUCAUAGAGGGUGAGAAUCCCGUCUUUGACACGGACUGCCAGUGCAUUGUGAUGCGCUCUCAAAGAGUCGAGUUGUUUGGGAAUGCAGCUCAAAAUGGGUGGUAAAUUCCAUCUAAAGCUAAAUAUUGAGGAGAGACCGAUAGCGAACAAGUACCGUGAGGGAAAGAUGAAAAGAACUUUGGAAAGAGAGUUAAACAGUACGUGAAAUUGCUGAAAGGGAAACGCUUGAAGUCAGUCGCGCCGUUCAGGACUCAGCCUUGCUUUGCUUGGUGUACUUCCUGUUUGGUGGGUCAGCAUCAAUUUUGGUCGGUGGAUAAAGGCUUAGAGAAUGUGGCAUCUUCGGGUGUGUUAUAGCUCUGGGUCGCAUACAUCGGCUGGGAUUGAGGAACUCAGCACGCCGCAAGGCCGGGGACUUGUCCCACGUACGUGCUUAGGAUGCUGGCAUAAUGGCUUUAAUCGACCCGUCUUGAAACACGGACCAAGGAGUCUAACAUGCCUGCGAGUGUUUGGGUGGAAAACUCGAGCGCGUAAUGAAAGUGAAAGUUGAGAUCCCUGUCGUGGGGAGCAUCGACGCCCGGAGCAGACCUUUUGUGACGCAUCCGCGGUAGAGCAUGUAUGUUGGGACCCGAAAGAUGGUGAACUAUGCCUGAAUAGGGUGAAGCCAGAGGAACUCUGGUGGAGGCUCGUAGCGAUUCUGACGUGCAAAUCGAUCGUCGAAUUUGGGUAUAG
rnacentral:rRNA from 1 species